rnacentral:rRNA from 1 species
AACGAACGCUGGCGGCAUGCCUAACACAUGCAAGUCGAACGAGACCUUCGGGUCUAGUGGCGCACGGGUGCGUAACGCGGGGGAACCUGCCCUUAGGUUCGGAAUAACUCCCCGAAAGGGGUGCUAAUACCGGGUAAUGUCUUCGGACCAAAGAUUUAUCGCCUUUGGAUGGGCCCGCGUUGGAUUAGGUAGUUGGUAGGGUAAAAGCCUCCCAAGGCGACGAUCCACAGCGGGUCUGAGAGGAUGACCAGCCACACUGGGACUGAGACACGGCCCAGACUCCGGCGAGAGGCAGCAGUGGGGACUAUUGGAGCAUGGGCGAAAGCCAGAGUCAGCAAUGCCGCGAGAGUGAUGAAGGCCUUAGAGUUGUAAAGCUCUUUUACCCGGGAUGAUAAUGACAGUACCGGGAGAAUAAGCUCCGGCUAACUCCGG